CUUUUAAUAAAGUUCACUUUGAUACAACUCUGAUUUUGCAUCUUAGCUCCAUUUGUCUCGGUUUUUCUUGCACUUGGUAGUAUUUGGUACAACGUUGGUUGAUUCAAGCACGUGGAUAUUGGAGAAAAAAGGAGCUACCUUUAGCAGGCACUUCGUUUUCGUUUUAGCUCCCGGGGUGCUCGUGAUUAUUGUUGGGAGGUAACCUCGCCGCUUUGAGACCAUUCAUGCCAAGAUAUGUCAUGCCAAUGCCAUGGUGGCCAUGGCCAUCCAUCUGGACGUGGACUGCCUCAUGCAGCACUGAUUAGCUUCAUGCCAUGCUCAUAGUACUCUGACCUGUAGACGUCGAAGAUGAGCGUGAGGCCUAUGCACGGCGUCGGCGACAACACGGCGUGGUCGGCGCUGAUGUCGGCGACGGUGAGGAGCUCGCGGGCGGCGGCCGGCGGCGCCUCGCCGUCACCGUCGCGGAGCGAGCAGGCGUAGAAGGAGGUGGUGUGCCCUCCUGCGGCGGCGACGCGUCAGGAUCUUGUCGACGAGCAGCUGGCACGGCUGGCCGGACGACUCCGACCGCCGCGCUCGCCGAUUCCGCCCACAGCCGGCCCAAAGAAGGGAAGAGAAAAGAGAUAAAAGAGAAGAGAAGGAGAAGAAAAAAUACAUGUAGCUGACAGGUGGACCCCACACACUUUUUUAAAUUUUUUUGCUGACUAGGAUGCCACGUCAGCGAAACCACCUCUAUAUACUGCUAUAGGACCUUAUGUGCACGGUUUGUGUAAGUUUAGGGGUAUACAUUUAUGGUUUUGUGGUUAAGAGACCUUAGAAAAUCUCGCUGUUAAGUUGAGGGACCUCCGGUGAACUUAUUCCUUUCCCCGUCGACCGCUUGCGCGGCGGCACACCCCAACCCGCCGCCAUGGGAAACGCCGCAUCGGAGUCUCGGAGAUGGCUGUUGCUCCGCGUCGGAGAUCAAGAAAGCUUGAAAACAACAUCAGGUAAACGGCCCGCUCGCUAGAAAUAGUUCUACUAGUAUAUCUUGAUAUCGAUUUGCAAGUAUGUCAGAACCCAGAACUUCUGAAGAUUAUGGUAUCCUUGUUGGAUAUUUGUAUCACAUUCUAGUCAUUUGCUCAGACCGUUAGAAUUGAAUUGGGAAACCUAUUUGAUUCCUCCAGGGGAUGUCCGGUCAUUCCUAAUGUUAUUAGGUACUAGCCCUGACCUACUAUGGCCAGUUUCGGUAUAUCAUUGGGUUACUUCUCUAGGAUGGUUUUGCAUGGUAUCUGAACACUAGAUUGCACCAUAAUUACAGAGAGAUAUCAUUGCACUAAUUAACAUUAUCUAUGAAGAAAGUGGAGUGUGACAAGUAGCUAGCUCGUCGGCCAUUACAGGCAUAUAACUGCGUAAAGGGGAGGUGUUGGCACUACGAGACCUGAGAAAGAACACGAGCAAUCUCAAGUGAGAUCUCAUUCCCUGGAGUGCUGCAGGAAAAGAGAGAUUUUAUGCCCAUUUGAUGCGCCUGCGGUGCUUCGAAUUCUUCUAAAGCUGUUGCAAUGGCAGAAUUGAAUAGCUAACCCUUUGAUUCUGCAUGUGGACUCUGGACUCUGGAGUGUUGGUUCGGCGGCCUUUCUCAUGGACCUAAUAUAUUUCAAGAUCGAGGAAGAGCACUGUAAUCUGAAUAUGAUCGACUCUGUUCAGGUCUGAAACCUGUUGAGAAAAAGGGUCCAAAUUAACACAGGAGAAGAUACAUGCAGAUCACGUGCGACAUGUCCUCUCAGGCUCUAGGGGGUAGAACUUAUCUAAUUGCUCCGUGCUAUGGUUGGCCUACUAAGCACUGAUCGAUCGAUGGUAGCGACUACCACAUGGAGUAGACGACGAUCUGUGCAUGACUGUGCUGUCCCCUACACCCUCUUGAUCCCCUUUGUGCUUGUCGAUGGAUGGAUAUCCUCGGUAGCCUUUGCAUUUGCAGCUACGGUUGUGAGAGCGAGAGAGUGGUCUCAGCAUGAUGAACUUUGUUAGGUAGCAGGAAAGUUUCUCCAAAUUGGAACACGAAUUAGCAUGCUCCAAAUUGGAGUACUACUUAGUAGCAGUAAUAAUGUAGUGCACUAGUGCUAGUCAAGGAGAGGAUUCAAGAACUGCAGGGCAUGAGACACGGCUUUGGUAGGGGCGUUGUAAAGAUCUUUGCCUUGUCUGUUGCCUCCCUGGAGAGUUACAAGGUAGAGAAAACAAUAGAUGCAUGUGUUGUCUGCGUUAAGGAGAAGAAGAAGCUAUAGCUGCUGCUUUAAUCUCCUUCAGAGAGAGGGGGGGAUGGGAACCUAGCUUGUCAAGGAGGAGAAAGCAUUUCACUGCCUUUAUUUUUGAUAGCUUUCUUCGAGCAUUAUCAGGUAUGCUUUGAUCAAGGACAUGAACAUUGCAACGGCAGGUCUUUUCCACGUAGAGACCUCUAUGAUUUGUCGGUUUUUUAUAAACUUUGGAGACAGCAAUGCUAUGACAGUGAAGCCUAAGCUUAGUUUUUAACGAGCUUUAAUUUCAGAUGAACUGUUAGGUAGGUAGAGGUAGGGUAUGGUGCAUAACUUGGUCAUCUCAGGCAGACAGGCUCCCUCAGUUGAAAACUCUAGAGUGGCAACAAAUAUGUAUCAGGAUGUGCUCGUAUGCUUUUCUAUGAGAAAAUGCUCAAACCACAAAAGUGAUUUCCUGGAGCUGCUUUGUACCUAACUAGUAGUAACUACUGCAUUUCCAGAAUCUAUGUAUUUCUUGUGUUUUUGUGGAAGCACUUCCAUAGGAUAUAUUUAAUUCACUCGCCAAUUUUUUUAAUA